rnacentral:misc_RNA from 1 species
GAGAAAGUAACCCACGGACUCCGUUUCGUCACUUCUCUUCAACCAUGUAAUCAAUCUCCCUCUGGAAGAUCAAGUUCAACACCACCAAGCGCUACAUACUACUUAAUUACCUGCAGGUGAGGAGAGAGAGCAGCAGAAACGUCAUCGUUUGGUGAAAUGGCUUCGUACAUGCCGCUUAUCAUCGCGAUCGUGAUCAUGAACGUAGGAGACUCCAGAGCUAGGGAAUUACGGCCUUCCUACCAC